GAAUCCAAGGAGCUUCAUCUGCUCAUGGACUGGCUUUAGAUAAUGAGGCCCUGGACUUCUAAGAGGAUGCCAGUGAGAUGAGACUUGGGGGGCUUUGGCAGAGGGGUUAAGUGUGUUUUGUAUGUGAGAUAGAUGUGAAUUGUUAUGGCCAGAGAGUAAAUCACAGUAGAGUGUAUUUUCCGAAGACAUCCACUACAAUACAUCCCAUCCCAUCCCACAUACUCUCACAACAUGACAUUGACACUCCUCCCAUCCAGUGGUAGGGUCUGUGUCUUUUUCCCUUGGACCUAAGUGGGCCUUUACAAUUGCCUGUAUCAAUAGAGUAUGGUGGAAGUGAUACUAUGUGACUUCUGAGGCUAGGUCAUAAUUGGGAAGCUCGUUCUUAGAACCCAUCCACCAUGCUGAAAAUAAGCCAAGUAGCCUUGGAGAGGAAUUGAGGCCCCCACCUCUCAGCCUGACUUCCCAUCCUACUGCCGACACCAACUUUCCAAGCAUUAGAAUAAGGUAACUUGGAAAUGAUCCUUCAACCCUCAGGUGAGCCACCCCAGUUGAUACUGUGUGAAGAAGACAUGAGCCUUCCCUGUAAACUUUGCCCAAAUUAUACACUUGUGAGAUAAGUAAAUGAUUGUUGUUUUAAUUCACUAGGUUUUGGAGAAGUUUGCUCUCAAAAAUACAUAACUGGAACAAUAGGGGCUGAUUGGCAGUUCUAUGAAGAGCCGUAGUUUAAAGAGCAGGAUGAUAUAAAAAAGUGUGCACUGAGAAUCCUCACUCGUUCCUCCAUCGUCCUCCUCUCCCUGGGCCAUGCAUGUGGGUAAUUGCCAUCAGAUUCUUAUUCAUUUUUCCAGGACUCUCAUGCAGAUAACUACACAUAAAGCUACUGAGAUGGAACAGAUUGAUGAACGGGGCUGA
rnacentral:lncRNA from 1 species